rnacentral:misc_RNA from 1 species
AACGUAAAGGUACGAUAAAGGAAAAGAGGGCUGUCUGCUCUGCUGACCUGCACACGCACGUCGGCACACAUAGAUGCGCAGACGCGCACUGCCACACUCGCAUAUGUUAUACGGUUAUUGCUGAGCGGUGUUCUCCCGGCCUUUCUUCAACUACACACGCACGCACGCACUUGUGAAGAAGACGAUGUCUGAGCGGUGUGACAUGAGGGGGGCGAAGAACCUCCGCAUGAUGGUGGUGCAGUCGGUUCUGUUCCUCUACUGCGAUCUCAGUAAGGACUGCGGGGAAAGCACGUCGGGCAAGUCGGUGCUCAUCAGCAGCAGUAGCGGCAACAAGCCGCUCGGCAAAUCGGGCGCAUUUUUGGGCCUCAACGUCUUCAUCAAGUCCCUUGACAAGCGUGAUCUUUCCAGCAGAUCGAUCGAGGCGCUUCGCACAACAUCUUUCACGGAUGUCGGGGACGGUUGUCAGUGGCGCAUUGAGGAGGACGGAGUCACUCUGUGUAUCCGAGUCGACUUCGCCACUGUUAAGAAGCGCCUCGGCGCCUCUGGAAAGUCGAUGCUGCUUGCCACCACAGGUGGCAACAAGCCCAUCGGUGGUACGGGGCUGAAGUGCGGGCUAAACUGUUACCACCCAGUGGACAAAGUCUUUGACGCGUCGCAAUUGGCGGCGGGUAACGCAGGGGAGGAUGAGCUGCAGGUGGGGCAGACACAGUCCAUGGAGGGUGGUUUUGUGGUGUCGUACACGACGCCGACGGAGAUGCAUGUUACCUACACCUACAGAGCCGAGGAGAUGGCGAAUGGCCACACCGCGUCGCUGCCUGCCUGCCUCGUGGGAGACCUCAAGGUGACGGUGUUCGUGUGUGCACCAAAAGUGGCACGCGCACGCACCGAGAAGACGGCCAUGAAGGCGACCGAGGAAGAUGAGAAGCCCCCCGCAUCUUUGGCCCCCACUCCUUUCUUGAGCCAAGCAAGUGGCGCGAACUGCAGCGGGCGCUUGUCUCUGGAAAGGGGGAAAGACAGUAAGGUGCGCAACAUCACCGUCACAUGCACCGCUGUGCCCGCGCAGGGCGAAGAGGCGGCGGCCUCGCCUGGCUCGCACUCCGGAGCGUACGCGAUUGACCUUCGCUUCGACCCCACUCUGAGCUUUGGCCGCUCAUUAUCCGGUAAGUGGCUGACGGUGGCCUCAACGGGCGGCUUCCAGCGUGUCGUCGAUGCAGAGGACCGCGCCGUCUGUCGGUUCAGCCUCUACGCCGGCCGCUCUGCGCCGCCGCUCUCUGAGGCGGAGAUCACGGCGGCCGUGCGGGCAGUGCUGGCGGCCAAACCGAAAGCGCGGCUGCCGAGCCUCUCGUUCAAAGAGGUGCUGACCGAGGUGAUGAGCAUGCUGGGUGUGAGCGAGGCCAUGAAAGAAGCGGUGAAGCCGAAGAUCAAGGAGGCUGUUGUGGCCUUUGUGCAGGCAGCGGCCACGUGAGCUCUCCAAGCCACCGCGCACGCGCGUGCUGUUUUCUUGAUCGUCCUUUGUUUCUCGGGCGUGUGCGUGUGGGUGGCAAACAUAUACAAAGGAGGUUUUUUUUUUACGUGUACGAAGGGGUGGUGUGGCGUGUAGGUGCGUGUCUCUCCCGUGGCCCUUCGGCACUUCCGUCAGCCCCUUCUCGUCUCUGUUCCUCCCCAUCACGUCCAGGAAAAGCUG